GGGCGAAUGGUUUAGUGGUAUAAUACUCCCUUAGCAUGUUUCGUCUGAAUAGCUUGGGAGUGGUCCAGGGUUCGAUUCCCUGUUCGUCCA
rnacentral:tRNA from 1 species